rnacentral:lncRNA from 1 species
GAUCAUUAUCGAGGGAACCUUAAAGAGUUCAAGGGGUGCUGUUCUCACUGUGAAGUAGACUUUUUAGAUCAAGAGAAAGUUUAGUUGGAAGAAGAAGAACAAAUCUGCUAAGAAGCAGAAGGAAGAGAGUAAGCCAAAGAAGGACGUUCCAAAGAAGAUUGAUGCAAAGAAAAAAUAUUUCCAUUAUACUGCUGACAGCCACU